rnacentral:rRNA from 2 species
AGCAGCCGCGGUAAUUCCAGCUCCAAUAGCGUAUAUUAAAGUUGUUGCAGUUAAAAAGCUCGUAGUUGAACUUCGGGAUCAAUUGAUUGGUCAUGCUUUAGUAUGUACUGGUCAUAUUGGUUCUCACCUUCUAAAGAACCAUAAUGUCAUUCACUUGAUGUUAUGGGGAAUUAGGACUGUUACCUUGAAAAAAUUAGAGUGUUUAAAGCAGGCUUACGCUUGAAUACAUUAGCAUGGAAUAAUGAAAUAGGACAUCGCAUUCUAUUUUGUUGGUUUCUAGGAUCGAUGUAAUGAUUAAUAGGGAUAGUUGGGGGCAUUAGUAUUCAAUUGUCAGAGGUGAAAUUCUUGGAUUUAUUGAAGACUAACUACUGCGAAAGCAUUUGCCAAGGAUGUUUUCAUUAAUCAAGGACGAAAGUUAGGGGAUCGAAGACGAUCAGAUACCGUCGUAGUCUUAACCAUAAACUAUGCCGACUAGGGAUCGGAUGAUGUUGAUUUUUAAAUGACU